UGGGGUGUAGCUCAGUUGGUGGAGUGCUUGUCUAGCAUGCUAGAGACCCUGGGUUCGAUCCCCAGCACAGCAU
rnacentral:tRNA from 1 species